rnacentral:tRNA from 1 species
UAGUUCAGCAGUAGAACGCUUCCUUGCCAAGGAAGAGGUCGAGGGUGCGAAACCCUU